GACGAACGCUGGCGGCGUGCUUAACACAUGCAAGUCGAACGGAAAGGCCCUGCUUUUGUGGGGUGCUCGAGUGGCGAACGGGUGAGUAACACGUGAGUAACCUGCCCUUGACUUUGGGAUAACUUCAGGAAACUGGGGCUAAUACCGGAUAGGAGCUCCUGCUGCAUGGUGGGGGUUGGAAAGUUUCGGCGGUUGGGGAUGGACUCUCGGCUUAUCAGCUUGUUGGUGGGGUAGUGGCUUACCAAGGCUUUGACGGGUAGCCGGCCUGAGAGGGUGACCGGCCACAUUGGGACUGGGAUACGGCCCAGACUCCUACGGGAGGCAGCAGUGGGGAAUAUUGCACAAUGGGCGGAAGCCUGAUGCAGCAACGCCGCGUGCGGGAUGACGGCCUUCGGGUUGUAAACCGCUUUCGCCUGUGACGAAGCGUGAGUGACGGUAAUGGGUAAAGAAGCACCGGCUAACUACGUG
rnacentral:rRNA from 1 species